rnacentral:rRNA from 1 species
AGCAGCCGCGGUAAUUCCAGCUCCAAUAGCGUAUAUUAAAGUUGUUGCAGUUAAAAAGCUCGUAGUUGAAUUUCGGGAUCAAUACGUCGGUCGUGCUUCGGUACGUACUGGCGUCAUUGAUUUCUCCCUUCUGACGAACCAUGAUGUCAUUAACUUGGUGUCUUGGGAAAUCAGGACUGUUACUUUGAAAAAAUUAGAGUGUUUAAAGCAGGCUCACGCUUGAAUACAUUAGCAUGGAAUAAUGAAAUAGGACGUUCGAUCCUAUUUUGUUGGUUUUAGGAUCAACGUAAUGAUUAAUAGGGAUAGUUGGGGGCAUUAGUAUUCAAUUGUCAGAGGUGAAAUUCUUGGAUUUAUUGAAGACUAACUACUGCGAAAGCAUUUGCCAAGGAUGUUUUCAUUAAUCAAGAACGAAAGUUAGGGGAUCGAAGACGAUCAGAUACCGUCGUAGUCUUAACCAUAAACUAUGCCGACUAGGGAUCGGAUG